rnacentral:rRNA from 1 species
GGCCUCUAUACAAAGCUAUCGCCGAAGGAGGGGUUUUGCGUCUGAUUAGCUGGUUGGAGGGGUAACGGCCCAACAAGGCGAUGAUCAGUAGCCGGUCUGAGAGGAUGAACGGCCACAUUGGGACUGAGACACGGCCCAGACUCCUACGGGAGGCAGCAGUGGGGAAUCUUCCGCAAUGGACGAAAGUCUGACGGAGCAACGCCGCGUGAGUGAAGAAGGUCUUCGGAUUGUAAAGCUCUGUUAUACGGGACGAAAAAGACGGAUGCCAACAGUAUCCGUCCGUGAUGGUACCGUAAGAGAAAGCCACGGCUAACUACGUGCCAGCAGCCGCGGUAAAU